AACGCACAUUGCGCCCCUCGGUAUUCCGUGGGGCAUGCCUGUUCGAGCGUCAUUUAAACCCUCAAGCUCAGCUUGGUGUUGGGUGCUUGUCCCGCCCCCGCGCGGCGACUCACCUCAAAAUCAGUGGCAGCCCGCACCCGCCGGCCGUGAGCGCAGCACAGUCGCGCCCUAGGCAAUUGGCAGGUCGGCUCUCCAGAAGCUCCUUCUUCCACUUUUGACCUCGGAUCAGGUAGGGAUACCCGCUGAACUUAA
rnacentral:misc_RNA from 1 species